rnacentral:rRNA from 1 species
GUUUGCCAGCACGUGAUGGUGGGGACGUCAUGAGAAGACUGCCGGGGUUAACUCGGAGGAAGGUGGGGAUGACGUCAAAUCAUCAUGCCCCUUAUGUCCAGGGCUUCACACAUGCUACAAUGGUCGGUACGAACGCGUGUGUGACACUGUGAGGUGAAGCUAAUACGCUCUAAAGCCGGUCGUAGUUCGGAUUGGGGUCUGCAACUCGACCCCAUGAAGUCGGAGUCGCUAGUAAUCGCAGAUCAGCAACGCUGCGGUGAAUACGUUCCCGGGCCUU